rnacentral:rRNA from 1 species
GAUGAACGCUGGCGGCGUGCCUAAUACAUGCAAGUCGAACGAGGUGCUUUUGUAGCAAUACGAGGGUAUCCUAGUGGCGAACGGGUGAGUAACGCGUUGGUGACCUGCCCCAAGGUGCGGGAUAACAGUCCGAAAGGAUUGCUAAUACCGCAUGUGGUCAUCGGGUUUAGAAACCGAUGUCUAAAGGAGCAAUCCGCUUUGGGAGGGACCUGCGUCCCAUCAGCUAGUUGGUGAGGUAAUGGCUUACCAAGGCGACGACGGGUAGGGGACCUGAGAGGGUGGCCCCCCACAAUGGAACUGAAACACGGUCCAUACACCUACGGGUGGCAG